AUUGAACGCUGGCGGCAGGCCUAACCCAUGCACGUCGAGCGAGCGGCGGACGGGUGAGUAAUGUAUGGGGACUGCCCGAUAGAGGGGGAUAACUACUGGAAACGGUGGCUAAUACCGCAUACUAUCGGAUAACCCAUAGGGGAUUAGCUAGUAGGUGGGGAAAAGGCUCACCUAGGCGGCGAUCUCUAGCUGGUCUGAGAGGAUGAUCAGCCGAACUGGGACGAGGACACGGCCCAGAUUCCUACGGAGGCAGCAGGGGGGAAUAUUGCUCAAUGGGCGCAAGCCUGAUGCAGACAUGCGGCUUGUAUAGAGAAGGCCGUAGGGUUGUAAAGUACUUUCAGCUGGGAGGCGUUACCCGCAGAGGGAGCACGGGCUAACUCGGUGCCAGCAGCCGCGGUAAUAC
rnacentral:rRNA from 1 species